rfam:Gossypium raimondii Chr04_contig_575, whole genome shotgun sequence.
AACCCAUGCAUCAGACAUUUUCGAAGUAGUUCAUUAAAUCUUUCCCAUACUUCAUAUAGUGUUUCAUCCUCUGAUUGUCAAAAAGACGUGAUGUCAUUUGUAAGCUU